GCAGGAGACCUUAGUCUAAGAAGAAGCUGUGCUGUGGCCACAAUGGUUUGGACUCCGCUCAUCUUCAUGGUUCUGUCUUACUGGACAGGUUCCUUUUCUGAGUCUGUAUUGACACAGCCACCCUCCAUUUCUCAGUCUCUUAGAUCAACAGCCACACUCACCUGUACCCUACAGAGUGGCAUCAGUGUUGGUAGUAAAAACAUAUACUGGUACCAGCAGAUGGAGGGGAGCUCUCCCAAGUUUUUCCUGUACUACUACUCAGACUCUGACAAGGAACUGGGGCCUGGAGUCACCAAUAGAGUCUCUGGAUCCAAAGAUACCUCCAAGAAUGCUGCAAAUUUACACAUCUCUGAGCUACAGGCGGAGGAUGAGGCUGUGUAUUAUUGCUCCAUCUGGGAAAGUGAUGUUUCUCACAGACCAUGA